rnacentral:rRNA from 1 species
AGGCCUACCAUGCNAGUCGAGCGCCCCGCUCGGGGAGCGGCAGACGGGAUAGUAACACGUGGGAACGUACCUUUCAGUUCGGAACAACCAAGGGAAACUUUGGCUAAUACCGGAUACGCCCGUAAGGGGAAAGAUUUAUCGCUGAAAGAUCGGCCCGCGUCUGAUUAGCUAGUUGGUGGGGUAAUGGCCCACCAAGGCGACGAUCAGUAGCUGGUCUGAGAGGAUGAUCAGCAUCACUGGGACUGAGACACGGCCCAGACUCCUACGGGAGGCAGCAGUGGG